CAGUAGCCGCGGGAAUACGUAGGUGGCAAGCGUUGUCCGGAAUUAUUGGGCGUAAAGCGCGCGCAGGCGGUUUAAUAAGUCUGAUGUGAAAGCCCACGGCUCAACCGUGGAGGGUCAUUGGAAACUGUUAAACUUGAGUGCAGGAGAGAAAAGUGGAAUUCCUAGUGUAGCGGUGAAAUGCGUAGAGAUUAGGAGGAACACCAGUGGCGAAGGCGGCUUUUUGGCCUGUAACUGACACUGAGGCGCGAAAGCGUGGGGGGCAAACAGGAUUAGAUACCCGAGUAGUCCCUGUCUCUUAUAC
rnacentral:rRNA from 1 species